rnacentral:snoRNA from 1 species
GCCCUCCAGAUUCCUUACUCCUCAGAUCUAAAUAUUGGUCUGAGUGGCUAAAAAAGGGAGAAAGGGAGGAGUGACGUGGACUGGGAGUCUUCAGUGACUUACAGGCUCAUUUCAGACAGAA